GUCUGUUUAACAAAAACAUUUCUUUUAGGUUUAUUUUAAAAGUAAAUUCUGCCCAAUGAUUAAUUAAAUGGCCGCAGUAUUCUAACUGUGCAAAGGUAGCAUAAUAAUUAGUCCCUUAAUUGGGGACUUGUAUGAAUGAUUUCAUGAGGUAUUUAUUAUAUAUAAAUUAUUAAAUUAACUUUAUUUUUUUGUUAAAAAGCUGAAUUGUUUUAGUGGGACGAUAAGACCCUAUAGAACUUAAAUUUAAAUUAGUACAAUUAUUAAUUUUUUAGUAUUAUAUUAAUUUAUUUUUUUUCUGGGGAAGAAUAUAAAUUUUUAAUUUUAUUUUUUUAUUUCAUAUAUUUAUGUUUAUAAGGAUUUAUUUCAUAAUUUUAAGUUAAAGUUACCUUAGGGAUAACAGCGUAAUUUUUAUGGAGAGUUCAUAUCUAUAUAAAAGUUUGCGACCUCGAUGUUGAAUUAAGAUAAAAUUAGGGGGUAGAUUUUCUAAUUAUAAGUCUGUUCGACUUUUCAUUCUUACAUGAUCUGAGUUCAAACCGGA
rnacentral:rRNA from 1 species